rnacentral:rRNA from 1 species
AGUGAAUAGAUACCCGGGUAGUCCACGCCCUAAACGAUGAACACUAGUCGUCGCUCUGCUAGUCAGGGCGGUGAUGCACUUAACAGGUUAAGUGUUCCGCCUGGGGAGUACGGUCGCAAGAUUAAAAACUCAAAGGAAUAGACGGGGACCCGCACAAGUGGUGGAGCAUGUGGUUUAAUUCGAAGAUACGCGAAAAACCUUACCUGGCCUUGACAUUGAUAGAAUUUUUCAGAGAUGAGAGAGUGCCCUUCGGGGUAGGCUUGAAAACAGGUGCUGCACGGCUGUCGUCAGCUCGUGUCGUGAGAUGUUGGGUUAAGUCCCGCAACGAGCGCAACCCUCGUCCUUAGUUGCCAGCAGGUUAAGCUGGGCACUCUAGGGAGACUGCCUUCGCAAGGAGGAGGAAGGUGAGGACGACGUCAAGUCAUCAUGGCCCUUACGGCCAGGGCUACACACGUGCUACAAUGGGGCGUACAGAGAGUUGCGAUACCGCGA